rnacentral:lncRNA from 1 species
GUUGAGUAGAUAUUGUGCACAUCCGUAUUUGAAACUCUAUAGCAUGUCAGGUUCCUUAUCUGACUAUCUAGAUAGACUAUUUUGUAGUGUGAAAAUGUCAUCUUCUUUUGAUGGGCUUUUGAAUAACGAAUCAUUAGUUUCUUUUCAUUGAUUACACUUUUGUUGUUAAGAGUAAGUUUUACUUGGUAAUUAAUUUGUAAAUUUCAUCUUUAACCUUUUAGGUUCAUUUCUUGAACUUCAAUAUUUAUAGGUAUAAACUUGUUGAAAAAAGAAUGAGAGGCAUUGGCAGUAUGAGGAGGGACGUAAAAGAAAAGAAGAAAGGUGUGCGAAAAAGUGCAAGUUGAAAUACUGAUACUGAAAUCAUUAUGGUCAUUACUGUAAUGAUUAAAAUGCUAAGAAAAAGCUAGAGAUUGAGUUUCAAGAAAGAACCUUGGUUUACUUGGCGCUAAGAUAGGCAUUGGUCAUUUAAGUUUCCUAUUCUUUGGGAAAUUCACUAUUAUUUGACCAUUUCAAUAUUCUUUUACCAUACUAGAGCUACUGUGUUUGGUUGACUGUAUCAUUGAUAGCUAUUUAAUGUAACUUGUCUUUACCCCUCAUAGCUAAAAUGGAUUGAUGAGGAUUUCCUGAGCUAUGACUUUGAGUUCAACAUUUUGCUGACUUGCUAAAUUUGUUAAGAGAAUUUUCUUCACUUUUCUUGGAAUAUGUUUCUGCUGUUCUAUGUGCAGGUUUAGUCAAGAUAUGGAGAUUAAAGGACCUCAUUUAAAACAUCUGACACUUCUUUAGGCUUUGUUGUUCUAGGCCCAAUCAGAUAUCUUUAUACUUACUGUUAUUUGAUUGUGUGGCUUGAGUUCAAAUUAAGUAAAUUAUUUGAGAGAAUGCUUAAUGAUUUGUUUGGCUUGUUUUGCUUAGCAAUGAAUCAAAGCCCGAAGAGUGAAAGAACUCUUACCGUUUCCCUUGCAUUAUCAUGAUUGAAGUGUCAAGCACCCCUAGAAUCAAGAUUGGAAUUAUUUCUAUGUCUGUCCUGCAUGGAUCUAUAGUGAUUAUUUAUUAGCCUCAUUUUUUGAUACAUAUUAUUGUAGACAUUAUGUACAUUUUACUUUUUAAAUAAGAGGUUUUGUUUGUAAAGAUAGUGAACAAUUUUUGUUUCAAUGCAUCAUAUUGUGUAUAGUGGACCUAUUAUGUACUUCCUAAUUUUGUCCAGUUACGGUGUGUUGUAUUCUUAAUGACACUGAAUUGCCAAAUAAUUCAACAUCUG